GCAGGUUUACGCUCCGAAGAGGCCUGGGAGGAUCGUGGAGUGGGGGACAGGAUGGAAUGCAGCAAUCAUCUUUCUGAGUCUUCAUAGGUCUGCUCCAGAAUCUCAGAGUCAGACAAGGUUACAUAACAGGGAACACUGGUUUCAAUCUCCUGAUUUGGAAGUGGAAUGGGCAGCAUUAGAUAAGCUCUCCUCACCAUCCGGUAAGAGGACACACCAGCAGGCCCCUGAGGCUCCCCCUCACCCUGCCUUUCUGCUUCCCAAGCGGAGCAGCGCAGAGCCGGCCAGGCCCACCUGCCCAGGUUAAACAUUCCAUUCCCUGCAAGUGCUUCUCAGAUAACGUGACUACCUGCCCUUCAUUAUCUCAGCCUCACAUCCCAGCUCCACCUUGGACUAGCUGUGCAGCAUUGGGUGAUGAGACAUGGCAAUUGUGGCUUUGGCUGAAAUAAAUAAACAGCAUCCUAUCACCAAAAUCAGAGAUGGAGCAGCAAAGAGGCUGGGCCAGCUCGCCCAGGAGUCGGCAAGAGGAUGCCUACUUAGUGUGCAAGAUGAAUCCCAGACACUUCCUAAAAGGCGAUAACUUUCUUUGACCGAUGAAUAUAUUAUUUAUAAGUGAUUCCUAUGCCUUCUUCUCUCCCUCCUUUGCAGCCAGUCCCCCUGCCCCCCAUUUUCACAGUACGUUGUAGCACUUGUUCAAUGAUGAAGCCCCUCAUGAUAAAUAAUUUAUAAAGCAAUUUACAAGUACAUUAUUUUUAGCAAUAAGAUAAG